UGGGGGAUAUUGCACAAUGGGCGAAAGCCUGAUGCAGCGACGCCGCGUGGGGGAUGAAGGCUUUCGGGUUGUAAACCUCUUUCGCUAUCGAACAAGGCCCGCUUAGGGUGGGUUGAGGGUAGGUGGAGAAGAAGCGCCGGCUAACUACGUGCCAGCAGCCGCGGUAAUACGUAGGGCGCGAGCGUUGUCCGGAAUUAUUGGGCGUAAAGGGCUUGUAGGCGGCUUGUUGCGCCUGCUGUGAAAACGCGGGGCUUAACUUCGCGCGUGCAGGGGGUACGGGCAGGCUUGAGUGUGGUAGGGGUGACUGGAAUUCCAGGUGUAGCGGUGGAAUGCGCAGAUAUCUGGGGGAACACCGAUGGCGAAGGCAGGUCACUGGGCCAUUACUGACGCUGAGGAGCGAAAGCAUGGGUAGCGAACAGGA
rnacentral:rRNA from 1 species